rnacentral:sRNA from 1 species
UUUGCACCUGUAACGUGACGAUGCCGG